UGCAGUCGAGCGACAGAUAACGUGUAGCUUGCUCCUUUGACGUUAGCGGCGGACGGGUGAGUAACACGUGGGUAACCUACCUAUAAGACUGGGAUAACUUCGGGAAACCGGAGCUAAUACCGGAUAAUAUUUCGAACCGCAUGGUUCGAUAGUGAAAGAUGGUUUUGCUAUCACUUAUAGAUGGACCCGCGCCGUAUUAGCUAGUUGGUAAGGUAACGGCUUACCAAGGCGACGAUACGUAGCCGACCUGAGAGGGUGAUCGGCCACACUGGAACUGAGACACGGUCCAGACUCCUACGGGAGGCAGCAGUAGGGAAUCUUCCGCAAUGGGCGAAAGCCUGACGGAGCAACGCCGCGUGAGUGAUGAAGGUCUUCGGAUCGUAAAACUCUGUUAUUAGGGAAGAACAUACGUGUAAGUAACUGUGCACGUCUUGACGGUACCUAAUCAGAAAGCCACGGCUAACUACGUGCCAGCAGCCGCGGUAAUACGUAGGUGGCAAGCGUUAUCCGGAAUUAUUGGGCGUAAAGCGCGCGUAGGCGGUUUUUUAAGUCUGAUGUGAAAGCCCACGGCUCAACCGUGGAGGGUCAUUGGAAACUGGAAAACUUGAGUGCAGAAGAGGAAAGUGGAAUUCCAUGUGUAGCGGUGAAAUGCGCAGAGAUAUGGAGGAACACCAGUGGCGAAGGCGACUUUCUGGUCUGUAACUGACGCUGAUGUGCGAAAGCGUGGGGAUCAAACAGGAUUAGAUACCCUGGUAGUCCACGCCGUAAACGAUGAGUGCUAAGUGUUAGGGGGUUUCCGCCCCUUAGUGCUGCAGCUAACGCAUUAAGCACUCCGCCUGGGGAGUACGACCGCAAGGUUGAAACUCAAAGGAAUUGACGGGGACCCGCACAAGCGGNGGAGCAUGUGGGUUUAAUUCGAAGCAACGCGNAAGAA
rnacentral:rRNA from 1 species